rnacentral:rRNA from 1 species
AAUAUUGUACAAUGGUGGCAACCCUGAUCCAGCCAUGCCGCGUCUGUGAAGAAGGUCUUCGGCUUGUAAAGCACUAUAAGUUGGGGGGAAGGGCUUUAGGCUAAUACCCAGAAGUUUUGACGUUACCAACAGAACAAGCACCGGCUAACUCUGUGCCAGCAGCCGCGGUAAUACAGAGGGUGCAAGCGUUAAUCGGAAUUACUGGGCGUAAAGCGCGCGUAGGUGGUGCAGUAAGAUGGGUGUGAAAUCCCCGGGCUUAACCUGGGAACUGCUUUCAUAACUGCUGAGCUAGAGUACGGUAGAGGGUAGUGGAAUGUCCUGUGUAGCGGUGAAAUGCGUAGAUAUAGGAAGGAACACCAGUGGCGAAGGCGACUACCUGGACUGAUACUGACACUGAGGUGCGAAAGCGUGGGGAGCAAACA